UACGUAGGGGCAAGCGUUGUCCGGAAUCAUUGGGCGUAAAGAGCGUGUAGGCGGCCCGGUAAGUCCGCUGUGAAAGUCCAGGGCUCAACCCUGGGAUGCCGGUGGAUACUGUCGGGCUCGAGUCCGGAAGAGGAGUGUGGAAUUCCUGGUGUAGCGGUGAAAUGCGGCAGAUAUCAGGAGGAACACCAAUGGCGAAGGCAGCACUCUGGGACGUGACUGACGCUGAGACGCGAAGCGUGGG
rnacentral:rRNA from 1 species